AUCUGUUAAGGUAUAAGCGGGUAUAAGAAAUAAGACCAUAUUGUAACUGUUUCCGACACGCAUGGACCUAUCGAUCCUUUAUCCCUACCGUUUCUCCCUUCCGCUCGCUGAACUUUCCUUUAUCCCCUCCCCUGACCCCACCAAUCUAUAAUUGCAGAUCUCCGAUCACCGUGUCCUCUGCUGAGUCAGCAUUGACUCUCCCAUAUAACUCACCCCAACUUUUGCCCAUACAUACUCUUAUGACCUGAUGUCAAAAUCUUUUGGGGGUACCUUUUACACAUGUUUUGUAUGACCGUGACCAAUCUGAACAUAUCUCUAAAUUAUUCAGCGAAACUAACUGUUAUAUAAAACCUAUGCCACCAGCUUGAAAACCGAGACAGUCAGCAUCAGUCAGCAGCAGACAGUAGUGGCAGUCAGUCAAGUCAACCAGAAAGUCUUAAACAAAUUACUUGGCUUCAACUGCAAGAACGUACCCGAUGUCUUGUUGAGUGAAAACACUUCGUUGUUGAUCGUGAACGAACUUGAAGAUUUCGAGGAAACACGUUAUUCAUGAAUUUCGACUGCCAGUAUCGCACGAACGAAGUGCUUGGGAUAAUAUUGGCAUCAGAUGUAAUUUGGACGUCCGAAACACCAGGGCAUUGGUAUUUACUCGCUGGACUUACUCGGUUUUUCGAGAAAAUCAUUCUUGAAAAAAAGGAAAAACGAUUUGUGUUGGAACCACGUAUAGCCCUCAACUAUCACUAUGGCUAAUAUUAUCAAAGACGUUGUUUUAGACGAGUUUAGUCAAAUUACAAUCGAAAAACUUAACUUCGGCCAAGCAAACAAUAAAAAGAGGAAAAGGAGUUGGAAGAAGAGAACAUGGAGGAAAACUCUUUUUUUGGAAAUAUCGAACACACAGAACCAAGGAAUUUCAAUACAGAAAAUCUAGAGGACAUAUGUCUGCGCCAGAUGCCCAUACCAGAGGAGGUAGUUAAUGGCCGCGGUCUCCUUCAAUUCCAGUACAGCAAGUUUCAUGUUUUCCGGCACGAUGUGUCCAAACAGACGAGGGGCACCCGAAUGAAGGGAUUUUUUUACACAUUGUUUUUUCAUAUUUGUCGUUGCGUUUUUCCUCCUCUCUUUCUCUACCCUUUCGAAAAAGAAUAUAAAAGAUCACCACAGUUUUUUUAUACACCAACACCCACCCAAACUAUGGGCAUCCGUCGUGUGUUAUACUGCUGUUCUGUCGGCAGAGCGUCUUUCGUGACGAUCCGGCAUAUUUCCUUCCGCUUCCGCACCGCUCACUCAACAAAAAAUAAUAAUAAAAAGAGCGCUGGAUGUAUAUGGACAAAAUGGCCUUCCUCCCAUGCAUAUAUGUUGUCUCUUGCUGCUGCUGCUACUGCUACUACAGUCCCGGCUUGCCUUUUCUUUCUCUCGCCAGUUGGGUCGGACACCGUCAAAAAUCGAUGCUGUAUGCAGAGACAAAACAAGGGAUCGUUGUCAUGCCAAUGUGCAGCCGUGAGAGGUUACCUUCGAUCAACCGAUACCGCUUCUCCCUCGUUAUCCUUUUGUUAUCCGGAUGUAGAUCUGCACGAAGUGUGCACUGCAUCUUUUCGAUGAUUUCUUUUUUAAGGAAUGACAGGGACCAUGCCGAGAGAGGCUUGUGACAACAACUGUUGUUGUUUCUUUGAUGACCUUUUGACCUUGAUGUUUUUCCCUCUUUGUUUUCCAAAUGACACUGUUUUGAUUCCUCUGAUUGAUGUAAAAACUUUGCAUUAAAAAAAUAACUAUAACACCAAAAAGCGGGAAAAGGGAAACAAGAAAUGAAUAAUAAUAAUAACAAACAUAACAAAACUCAAAACUCUCCUCAUAUGGGAUAGACAUCUAGAUAUGCUAUAGACCUCUUUUUUCUUUUUUUUUGUUUUGUGAGUCGUGAAAUCCGCCCUACACACCGACUGGGGGCUAUCUGUCUAUUUAGUUUUGUUUCUUCGGUGGGGGGUUGCACUUGACUUGUGGUGGCUGUUGUUCCACUCCAUUCAUUCGGCAAUCCGAUUUCAAUUUUUUUUGUGUGAAAUGUAAUCGGCGGCGGACAAGAAAGCAAAAGAAUGCCGCGAAGAAGACGAAAAGGAUGCCAUCACAACAACCAUGGACGUGUUUUUUUUGUAAAGAAGGACAGCACUCCUAUAAGGACUGUAAAGUUCGAAAGACUUGGUUGGCUUCUGGAAACGAGAUGUCCUUUCGGGAUCAUCUUGCAAGUGUCCAACGUAAAGAAAAAUCAGCAAAGACAACUUUUGUAGAGCUGGCAGUAAAGCCUUCAGUUGCCCAAGCAUUUGUAAACAAGUGGAAUGGAAAAUGCCGACUUAACAACACCAAUUUCGUGAUGCUCACGUCUCACUUACCAACCAUCCACAAGAAAACCAAGGAAGCUAAGGACGAAAUGAUUGCUUAUCGUGCUUCAAAAAUGAAUGGAAAUUAAUUUCGUUAUCAACUAUCAAUCCAGAAAAAGUUUUAUCCUUUUUUUCCCAUCUGAUUUUCUUUUAUUUUCUUUUUUC
rnacentral:lncRNA from 1 species